GGAGCAAUGAAGGCCGAAUCAGACACU
rnacentral:piRNA from 1 species